AGUGAACGCUGGCGGUAGGCCUAACACAUGCAAGUCGAACGGCAGCACAGGAGAGCUUGCUCUCUGGGUGGCGAGUGGCGGACGGGUGAGGAAUACAUCGGAAUCUACCUUUUCGUGGGGGAUAACGUAGGGAAACUUACGCUAAUACCGCAUAUGACCUACGGGUGAAGGUGGGGGACCGCAAGGCCUCACGCGAUUAGAUGAGCCGAUGUCCGAUUAGCUAGUUGGCGGGGUAAUGGCCCACCAAGGCGACGAGCGGUAGCUGGUCUGAGAGGAUGAUCAGCCACACUGGAACUGAGACACGGUCCAGACUCCUACGGGAGGCAGCAGUGGGGAAUAUUGGACAAUGGGCGCAAGCCUGAUCCAGCCAUACCGCGUGGGUGAAGAAGGCCUUCGGGUUGUAAAGCCCUUUUGUUGGGAAAGAAAUCCUAUCGGUUAAUAACCGGUGGGGAUGACGGUACCCAAAGAAUAAGCACCGGCUAACUUCGUGCCAGCAGCCGCGGUAACAC
rnacentral:rRNA from 1 species